rnacentral:rRNA from 1 species
AGAGUUUGAUCAUGGCUCAGGACGAACGCUGGCGGCGGGCUUAAUACAUGCAAGUCGAACGAGAAGCUCCGGGCUUGCCCGGAGUGGAGAGUGGCGCACGGGUGAGUAACACGUAGGCAACCUGCCCCUGAGAGUGGGAUAACCAUUGGAAACGAUGGCUAAUACCGCAUAUUGUCUUUUAAGCGCAUGCUUUUAAGAUGAAAACUCCGGUGCUCAGGGAUGGGCCUGCGGCAGAUUAGCUUGUUGGUAAGGUAACGGCUUACCAAGGCUACGAUCUGUAGCUGGUCUGAGAGGAUGAUCAGCCACACUGGCACUGAGACACGGGCCAGACUUCUACGGAAGGCAGCAGUAAGGAAUAUUGCGCAAUGGGCGAAAGCCUGACGCAGCCACGCCGCGUGGAGGAAGACACCCCUAUGGGGCGUAAACUCCUUUUAUAUGAGAAGAAAGUCCCGGACGCCGGGGCCUGACGGUAUCAUAUGAAUAAGCACCGGCUAACUCCGUGCCAGCAGCCGCGGUAAUACGGAGGGUGCAAGCGUUGUCCGGAUUUACUGGGUGUAAAGGGUGUGUAGGUGGAAUUGCAAGUCAGUGGUGAAAUCCUGCGGCUUAACCGUAGAACUGCCAUUGAUACUGCUUUUCUUGAG